CAGGUGGUGUAGUGCAUGGUAGGAGCAAAUACCUGCAGACACUGAGGCCCGCAGGACGUGGAGUUGAGUAACACUGGGAUAGAGGAUAGCUUGUGUAGCAGCAGUGUAGCUGCUUUUUACGCGCAAGGUGUGUGUGCUGUGGACGGAGGCAGGGUCCACACGGCACAGCGCGUGCAUCUCGCACCGAUGUGGCCCGGUUCAGGAGUCAGAACACCCCGCUGAGCGGAGCGCGCUGCAGAAAGUGCUGAUGGGUAAUGGAGACCGAAGGCUGGGAACACCGUGGCUCCCGCCAUGUGAGAUGUGUUCUGGGAAAGGCAUCCUGGCAUUUCAAAAUCAACGUGUCGCCAGCAAUUUCUCCAACACCAGCUGACCUGUUCUGCACAGCUCUGCUGCUUGGGCUAUCUGCAGCAAUGCAACUCAAGGAAAGGUUACAGGUUAUAUGCUGCUUUUUUCAGGAAUAUCCUCUUAAACGUAUUAUAUAUAACUUAUUAAACAUAUUAUUUCCUUUC